GAUGAACGCUGGCGGCGUGCUUAACACAUGCAAGUCGAACGGAAAGGCCCAAGCUUGCUUGGGUACUCGAGUGGCGAACGGGUGAGUAACACGUGGGUGAUCUGCCCUGCACUUCGGGAUAAGCCUGGGAAACUGGGUCUAAUACCGGAUAGGACCACAUUUUGGAUGGUGUGGUGGAAAGAUUUUCGGUGUGGGAUGAGCUCGCGGCCUAUCAGCUUGUUGGUGGGGUAAUGGCCUACCAAGGCGUCGACGGGUAGCCGGCCUGGGAGGGUGUAAGGCCACAUUGGGACAGAGAGACAGCCCAGAGUCCGACAGGGGGCAGAAGAGGGGAAUAUAGCACAAUGGGCGCGAGCCUGAGGCAGCGACGCCGCGUGGGGGAUGACGGCGUUCGGGUGGUAAACUCCUUUCGCGAGGGACGAGGCGUUUUUGUGACGGUACCUGGUGAAGAAGCACCGGCUAACUACGUG
rnacentral:rRNA from 1 species